AAAUCAGAGGCCGCUUGUUGCUAGCUUUGUAACUCUUCCGAAAACGGAAGGAAACACUCCAUCAUUUGCUGGGCAUCUAUGUGUUGACAAACUAAGACUACAAUCCCAGCGGGAAAUGAAAGAAGCAGUUUCUACUUCUCAUUGUUCUCAGCCCAACACCAUAGAGCAUGAAAUGGGCUUUGAGUGGCGCUUACUGCAAUCAAGAUCUGACAGUUGGUGG
rnacentral:misc_RNA from 1 species